UUUUUUUUGCCUUCAAAUGAAAGCAAGCUGCAUAGAGACUAGGACUUGGCAGGGCUGUGAAGUGAGCAGAGGAAGGGCGAGUAUGAACAAGCAGGGAAUGCUGGACUCCUACUAGGCUGUCUAUCUAGCUAAGAUGAUUAUGAUUCAAGGAGGAAGUACAAAAUGGUAUUAAGGCUCUCUUCCUCCACCCUUAAAAAUGUGGGUGAAGAUAAGCUACAUUUUCCCAGAAUCUGCUCAAAACAAGACAAAAGCAAUGUACUGAGCCAGGUGAGGAAGAAAGGCAGUGCACCCCACAGACAAGACUGCCCUGGUUGUACGGUGCUACAACAUGAUCUCAGUUGCUGUUAAAUAAGUUUCGCAAGAAACUGAAGAAUGGAAAGACAAGAGAUGAGGAACAAGUUUCAGAGAACAGAAGGAAUUUGUCUUGGGCUGCACAGUCACUAAGGAGAGAGCAGGCACCCAAACUGUGCCAUUCCCUGUCCUCUUGGGAGCUAUACUCUUCUGUAUCCCUGCUUCUGUUCAACGUAUCUGGCUCAAGAGACAUUUACAAAGGAAGGAAACACUCGUUGUAUGAAAAACAAACAUGAUAUAAACCUGUUUCGUUAGCUUUCAAGACUACCCUACCCAGGGGUGGCUACCCUAAAGAGAAUAGCAAAGUUGAUAAGAGAAAGAAUGAUAAAACUAUCAGAUUUCUCCCUAUCACAUUUUUCAAAAUAUUUCACCACAUCUGAAGAGGUAUUUUUCAUUCAUUUUCUGUAAGAUAGUAGAAAUGAAAGUGGUCUAAAACGCUAAAUAAAAGGGAUAUUGUUUGUAUUUAUUACUUCUUGAAUGCAGUGUAUAUUUAGAACUCAGAACAAUGGUUGUAUUUAGCCUAUACACUCCUUUUAAGAAAUUCACCCCAUGUAUGUGGGCAGCCUUAGAUCCUAGAUUCAUCACAGCUUCUAUUUGUGAACCAUUAGUUUGUAUCCCUCUUUUGACAACCACCUUGGAAAAUAAUUUCUCUCUCAUGCAAACCUGUCCCACCUUAUUGAAGGCCCACUGUAGCCUUUACAACUUAAAACAGUUCUCUGUACUGAAGUAGUCAUGUUACUAACUGCACGAAUGACACUAGCAAGUUAAAACAACGUGAAUUCUUAAUGUAUGUCGGAUUUAAAAUUCUUUUGAUCCCCGAUUUGUUGUGCUCAGCAUUGUAGUCUGUGCAAAGCAAAGUUAUUAGCUGAGAAAAUUAAGAUGUUUGAGUAUUCUAUAUUUCUAUUCUUUGAUGUGUAUAAAAAUUAGAAUUGGAAUUACAAUUAACUCUGAAGUUACUAUCAGAGCAAAGUAAACAAAAUGUCAUUGAUAUGUAAACAAAUUCAAUGCCCUAAUCAAAAAAUGUAAAUAGAAUGGGAUUUGAAUUCACAUCAUAUUAAUUCUAAAGAGAAAGUAUGAUAGAAAGAACAUGAGCAUGGAAAUAGCAAAACAACACAGGUCAGGUAUGAGUUUUUGAAAAAUCCUGAUUUGAAAAUCCACUUGUUUCCUUAAUAAAGUUAUUUAACCAUU
rnacentral:lncRNA from 1 species